GAUCCUGGCUCAGGAUGAACGCUGGCGGCGUGCCUAACACAUGCAAGUCGAGCGAAGCACUUUGCUUAGAUUCUUCGGAUGAAGAGGAUUGUGACUGAGCGGCGGACGGGUGAGUAACGCGUGGGUAACCUGCCUCAUACAGGGGGAGUAACAGUUAGAAAUAGACUGCUAAUACCGCAUAAGACCACAGCACCGCAUGGUGCGGGGUAAAACUCCGGUGUAUGAGAUGGACCCGCG
rnacentral:rRNA from 1 species